rnacentral:rRNA from 1 species
AGUAACGCGUGAGUAACCUGCCCAUAAGCGCACAGUGCCGCAUGGCACAGUGUGAAAACUCCGGUGGUAUACGAUGGACCCGCGUCUGAUUAGCUGGUUGGUGAGGUUAAACGGCCCACCAAGGCGACGAUCAGUAGCCGGCCUGAGAGGGUGAACGGCCACAUUGGGACUGAGACACGGCCCAAACUCCUACGGGAGGCAGCAGUGGGGAAUAUUGCACAAUGGGGGAAACCCUGAUGCAGCGACGCCGCGUGAGUGAAGAAGUAUUUCGGUAUGUAAAGCUCUAUCAGCAGGAAAGAAAAUGACGGUACCUGACUAAGAAGCUCCGGCUAAAUACGUG